rnacentral:rRNA from 1 species
UACGUAGGGUGCAGGCGUUAAUCGGAAUUACUGGGCGUAAAGCGUGCGCAGGCGGUUUGCUAAGACAGGUGUGAAAUCCCCGGGCUUAACCUGGGAACUGCGCUUGUUACUGGCAAGCUGGAGUGUGACAGAGGGGGGUGGAAUUCCACGUGUAGCAGUGAAAUGCGUAGAGAUGUGGAGGAACACCGAUGGCGAAGGCAGCCCCCUGGGCUAACACUGACGCUCAUGCACGAAAGCGUGGGGAGCAAACAGG